rnacentral:rRNA from 1 species
AUGAACGCUGGCGGCGUGCCUAAUACAUGCAAGUCGAGCGAACGGACGAGAAGCUUGCUUCUCUGAUGUUAGCGGCGGACGGGUGAGUAACACGUGGAUAACCUACCUAUAAGACUGGGAUAACUUCGGGAAACCGGAGCUAAUACCGGAGAAUAUUUUGAACCGCAUGGUUCAAAAGUGAAAGACGGUCUUGCUUUCACUUAUAGAUGGAUCCGCGCUGCAUUAGCUAGUUGGUAAGGUAACGGCUUACCAAGGCAACGAUGCAUAGCCGACCUGAGAGGGUGAUCGGCCACACUGGAACUGAGACACGGUCCAGACUCCUACGGGAGGCAGCAGUAGGGAAUCUUCCGCAAUGGGCGAAAGCCUGACGGAGCAACGCCGCGUGAGUGAUGAAGGUCUUCGGAUCGUAAAACUCUGUUAUUAGGGAAGAACAUAUGUGUAAGUAACUGUGCACAUCUUGACGGUACCUAAUCAGAAAGCCACGGCUAACUACGUG